rnacentral:tRNA from 1 species
GUGGGCGUAGCUCAGUUGGUCAGAGCGCCAGACUGUGGAUCUGGAGGCCGUGGGUUCGAAGCCCAUCGUCCACC